rnacentral:rRNA from 1 species
CAUGUAGGUGGAUUAAUAAGUUUGAAGUGAAAUCCUAUAGCUUAACUAUAGAACUGCUUUGAAAACUGUUAAUCUAGAAUGUGGGAGAGGUAGAUGGAAUUUCUGGUGUAGGGGUAAAAUCCGUAGAGAUCAGAAGGAAUACCGAUUGCGAAGGCGGUCAACUGGACGAUAACUGACGCUGAGGCGCGAAAGCGUGGGGAGCAAACA